CCAAAAGAACAUGGAGAAAAUAGAGCUUUCAGAGGAACCCGUGUUCUUCAGCCCAGACCCCUCUCUGGUUUCCCUGAUAUCAGCACACCCAGCCCCAAAUCCCAUCUCCAGUUCUCGCAACAGAUACCUGCUUCUGUUCCUAGAGGAUGCUGGUGGGCAGAGGCGGAAGGGCCACUGCCAAGGGAAGGAGGGCCCCUCACAGUUCUCCAGGGCCAGACCCUGAAGACACGGAGAAAGGAUGAUGCCACAGUGCCUAGUCUGCCACAGUGCUGCUCUCCACAGGAGUGCCCACAAGUGGCCUCCACACUUUAUCAAGGCUCCAAGCUGUGAAACAUUGUUUUUCUCUCCAAGUCAGAGCUAAAUGCAAACAGUUAUCCAGCAGGGCAUCCACUAAACAGCUCUGCAUCCUUCAUCUUCGCACCAACUGUGAUGACGGCAAGUACAGACAAGGCGCACAGCACGGGAAGGACCCAGGCUUUCCCACCUCGUGUCUCCAUCACCACCGCUGGAAGAAGCUGCACCAGGCCGACCUGGAGCAACAAGGCUGGUCCUGCAGCUCGCACCACUCUCCGCAGGGCACGCGUUCCUGACUCGCGGAGCUUACACAUACUAGAUGCUCGGUAAACAUUUGCUCAGUACAUUCGUGAGCACAUCAUGGGAAUCCAACAAAUGCUGGCCUACCUGAAAUUUCCCUCAAGGAACAGGUUUGCGGUGGCGACUGGAAGAUUGCAAGUCAUUUCCUGCUUGGGUGGACUUCUGUGGACCACCCCUUCUGCUAAGAGAGUGUGUGACUGCCCACCGUCUCCUCCAAAGGAAUUCAGUACCAUAUUCCAGCAUCCACACACCGGCUGGACUCCUGCAUCCCCGGGCCAUCCCAGUCCUGGCCUUGACACUUCAGAAUCAUUCAAUCCACUUCAACACAUGCUUGGAGGGCACCACCUCAUGGAAAGCCCAUCCUUGGUGACAUACAGGGUGCAGAAAUGAUGGGGGUCUGAUCCCCACCCUCAGGAGCUCCCAACCUGGGAGAAAAGAGUUGGAGCAAGGCUGCUCACACCUCAACCUUCCUUUACCUGCGUUUGCCCAGCUCUCCCUUCUUCCCUCUCUCUGCUCACUUAGCAACAAUGGUUAAUUUUUUUUGCGUGCCGGCUGUCAACUGAAAUUAAA